UGCAGACGUGCGGUCAAAUCUCUGCGAUCACGGUGAGGUCAGCCGAACGCGUUAAAGAAUCAGAAUAUUGUUCGUGGACACGGUCGCAGCUGCUGUUUCUUCGUGUUAAAAGUAAUAUUCUCGCAUUCAGCUUGGUGAAACUUGGGGCGUCUCGAGAGUGUGCCGCUACUGAUUACGGGUAGCGACGCUGAAAGUGUUCUGCGCUCUGAAGCUUAGAUAAUACGAUCGUGGCAGAGAUGGCGCCACUGUUCUGUUUAAAAGGUACGAUGCGCGCGCAUCGAGCUCCAUGUCUCACGCGUUGGAACUUUGCGGCAAGUACUUUAACCAAGGGAAACGCGCUGCUCGAACUUUAAAAGACUAGCGGCCCAAUUGCGAGAGACACAUGAUCGAUAAUAAUCGCUCUCUCGAAUUCUACUUCGCUUCUUGUCGCGCGUAUGAUGCACCACAUGAUCUCGUGACCCGAGAAAAUGAGGUCAUUCAAGAAAGUUCAAAAAGCGGCUCAAGGGUCUAUCUAACAGGAGUACGAAAUAUAAUUCAUAGUGCAUUACAGUUGUCUGACGAAGGCUACAGUGUGGUAAUACAGUGCGCACUUUAGUGGAAUAAUUAUGUGAACACUGUUUUCGACAAGCUCUUUGCCGAGCAGUCCCUACUUACUUUAUGUCAGUGAUAUGCUCGUAUGAAAUUUAAAUAAGAACAAGUUGACUGAUCUGCAAGCUUCUGACUGUAAAUUUGCUGCGUCAUUCUUGACACGUCACAAAGCCAUUGUUCAAUAAGUUUAUACUUGAUUUUAUUCCACUUCUUUAUUUUUUUUGUCUCUUAGUUACUUAGUAGUCUACCGAGAACAUAUAUACUGCUCGAUUUGAAGCAAAAGCCAUCCAAAAAUGAAAUCCAAUAAACUGUCUUGCACGGUCGGUACACUGAUGACGUAUGGUAUAUAUAACACGUUUCUAUAGUUCUGGCAUAUGCAAUAUGCCAGAGCCUAAUGCAAUCUUUGUCUAUCCGAGGAACGAUUGGCCCAGAAUAUCUAGUAACGGCAUUACAUUGGCAAAUGUCCGUCAAGAAAAUGAGAGACACCGUCGUAACAGCACAAAUAAUGUGAAAUAGCGGAAAAAGAAGCCUGAAAUAAAAAUGGAACGUGGCUGAUCAUGAAGGGAUGAAGAAUAAAUCAAUCACGAUGCAAAGCCCGACUCCAGUUUUAUCCGUGGAAUCUUGUUACGAGACACCGAGGCUGACAAGGUCGUUUCGAAGGGCGAGUUGGCGCGAACGCAGCUGGUUCUUAAAGAGACGAGAAACGCCUGGGUCGACACUUGGUCUACCUAUCUGCAUCAACGUCCCAUUGACCAAACGUUUACGUAUCUGGGAUGUUUGCCCACUGCCUCUCCGGUAGGAACGAACGCUACCUGUGCAUCCUUAGGAACGUGUCUGACGGUCCUGUUUAUCUCGCUCUCUCGUUCCUUCGCUCCUCGUAGAGAUAGAAAGAGUGCCGACAGAGGGUGCGUCAGAGAAAGGAAAUAAGAGGGCCAGCAGGGAGAGAUCGAAAAUUAAAGCGGAUCCAACGAACGAUACGGCGGAUGAACACGGGCUGCCGUGGAAAGGAGCUGCCACGGAGGUGGUGGUGGCAUCGCACGAUGAGCGCAGGCGUCGGCAUCGUAGUGCGCGCACUCGUAGCUCCCAAUAGUCGAGAAGACUUCACACGGGCCAAUCCUCGCAUCACGCGCUUAAAGGUUCCUUUACACGAGUCGUGCCAAUGUGAUUCUUAGGUAAGAGCGUGUCUCCGCGUAUGCCGAGAUCUUGGUUACCGACCGGGCCACUUAAAAAUGCCACAGCUAACGCUUUAAAAUGCCUUUAAAAGUUUCAUGACAUGAUUCCGAAAAAAAAAAAAAUCUCCAAAAAUAUUACGCGAGUUUCGUGAAUUUAUCAUUGAGAUCGGACAUAAAAAUAAUAUCUAAAGGCGACCAUCCCGGGUUGGCUUCAUGCUGAGACGCCACGCUUGCUUACGCCCAUGUAAUAAACGCCGAGUCCUUCUUCCAUCCUUCGAGCUUGAUUCUCGGGGCUAACGGUAAAAUCUCUUCUCCUUCACGGAUUCCCUCAACUAAUGCGAAUGGAACUGCGAGUACGUGAGACGCCGCCGAGAUAAAACAUUACAGACCGGUAUUAAGUGAGCUUCGUAAGUCGUCGCUCUUUAAAACCCAGCCCGCUGACUCGGCUGACAAUGAGAGGCGCCUACCGAUCGUCACGACGGAUUUACUCGAAUCUUUCAAAACAUUCCUGCAAUCCUUUCCUUCCGCGUCGAGACAAACACUGGCCAUCGCUCCUCCGUGGCCGCUUAGUUUCGUCAUGUCGUAUACCUAAUCGACGUGAAAAGAAAAAAAAAAAAAUGGAAAAGGAAGGAAUGACGUAUAAAUCCCAUAGGGUCAAUAACCUCCAUUCUUUUCCAUCUGCCUGCCUUCUGUCCCGCUCUCGCGCCAUGUGCACGCGUACACGUGCGAGAGACAAGGUGUACGCACGGCGUUGCAUGCGACCACGUGCGCUACAGUUUCGUUCGACCCUACAGAGGCAUUUCGAUCGCCACACUGUACAGCACGGUAACGUCAGUCAGGAACGUUAACAGGGACUUUUACGAGAUCGAGAGAACAACCUUACCAAAGCGUUACUAGAUCGAUUCCUGCGGAGGACUAGAAUUAAACGUCGAUCAGGGUGUACCGGGGCUUCGAAAAAGGCACGGUCCCCUUUAUGUGGGACGUGGCGCUCUGGUUGUAUUACGGGCACGGUUAAGCAACCGCUGGUGAAACCCUACACUGACCGUGGAACACGUGGCUAAUAGAAUUGGCAGUGAAGAGACGGAGGACAAAUUGCUGGCUCGAACACAGUAGAAGAAACAAAUAGCGCAAGGAUAUAGGGCGACUCUGUCUUUAUCCUCGCAAUCUCUCUACAGAAGUAAAAACAUCCUUGAAAACUCUUUUAGGCCUAAUUUUUUUCACCUCCCCUGGACCGUUCCAACGCCAGCUCGAGUUUCCCUCGGAGAAUCACGAUAAGAGGCAGAUUUCGUACGACACCCAGACGUGAGUAACAACAUGCUUCAAAGUCCUUCUGGAGAGACGUAGAAAUUUUCACGUGUCUGAAACGUCAAUGAACACGUGUCCAUACACAGAAAAAAUUCUCAAGUCAUGUUGACUGGUUGAAAAAUAAUAAACAAGCAAAAGUGCAUUGUAUGCCACAGUACGACGUUCUUAAACCUUUACUCUGCAAGUUGGUAAGCCUGGCCAAGGUCCCUUCGAAGGCAGUGAUCUAAAACCGAUAUAUCACAAUAAAGAAAUACCAACUGCACAGAAUGAAUCUCCUUCCUCUAAAGAUACACUUGGUAAGCAUCCAAGAUACGAAUUCGCAAACAACGAAAUACAGGUUUGUUUACAGCAAGGGUGCAUCGGCACUUCCCCGUCGUCGGAAUAACCAGAGAAAUUUGGACAGUCACUGUGUCUUUUAAACCUCAACAAUAGAAUCGACAGCGUUGACUCGGUCCUCGAGCCCACCCGUCUCUGUUUACCGUCGGUAUUCCUGUCGCAUUAACAGCACCCGAUUUCCGACGGCUGCGCAUCUGUCGCAAUCUUGCGCGACAGCAAAUACGAUUGUCUUGCACAAGAUUCCCGAGUUCCAGCGAAAACAAUGAUUUUGCGAUUUUUCCCACAAAGACCGAUGGGCAAACCGUGCGAGUUGAACACCCUCACGCAAUCUUCCCAUAACCUAUGGGUUCCUCCCGGCUGGUACGAACUUUCGUGAUAAGUAAAUUGUCGAAUAUUCAUCAUGCGAAAUCGGUUGGUACGACUGUCGACUAGGAAUUCUCGGAACGUCCAGGUACUCCCUCUACUGGCUAAGCAAGUAAAUUUACAUGCUAAAGAAUCUCUAAUAAGCGCCAGCUACCGGACAGAGCGCCUACGUACACGUACUAUAGUAAAGUCAAUCUAGUUCCGUCCGCUAGUACCUUCUUUACGUCUAGGAAUAAAGCCGAAUCUUCACGAGAGUAUAGAGAGUAUGCGCGAAUACACGUGGCAUAGUGACUUUGACAGGAAGCCAAAAGACGAAGUGAAUGGGCGAGUUGUCUCCUCUUUUAUUUCUAAUUCUUCGCAGUACGACCGUUGCCAAUGCGCCUGACGGAUUUACGAUGAAAAUAACAAACGCCUCGUGUCCAGCUUCUGUUGUUAUUAACGGAACAUAGGGAUUUCUCGUAUCGUUACAAUAAUUAUAUUAAGGAACACUGCGCGUCGGGACCUGUCCGUAAGACGCAACAAUUAUACUCCCGUAUUACAUUCGAAAAGAAUCCCGUACGAUCGACAAUGACGAAUCAUCGUAAGAAAACUUCGCGUCGAACUUGAGCCGUGUAGGAAAAUCGAUAAACAAUGAAAAAGCUCUCGAAAUUUUCAACUGACACUGGCAACAGUAUUAAUUGCGCACAAAAUAAAUAUCUGGUUCACCUUCCCUCCGCCGCCACUCUCGCUAUUAAUUAAAGACAACGUUAUGGAAACGUUAGAAUAACACGAAUCCCAUUGUACAAAGAAAAUGGAGUCGUAAGCCUGAAAGGGCCGUCAUCCCGAAUGAGAAUUAGAAAAAUAUAAGUAAAAAUAUUGUCGUAUAUACGAAAGCGAGGAUAAAAACAAGUUACGAAAAUUUCAAUGCGCCCUAGAGAUUCGGCCGGGAUUAAAUUGGCUGGCGGUGAAAUUGUUAAAGCAAGAACAAUGGCUGAUCGAUAAUAAGGUAUACGCUCGUAAUUUUUAACGACAAUAAACCUUCACUCUUCCUCCUCCAUUCCUUUGUCCCUACGCACCAAGAGUUUCUGACUGAUCCACGUGCGGGUAAUAUAUGCGUAUGACUUUCCCACUCUUCGCGUUAAGAAUCUCCCUCUCUUCUCGUUCCGUUCACUCUUGUCUCGUCACGCUGCUGUCCCUCGACGAUUGACUCGGCCAACGCGAGCAGAGUGACGCACACGCGUUUCCCGAUUACAUAUCAGGGGCUCCUCGGUUUUUGUUUCCUAUACUAAGUUCUAAAGUUCAAGCGAAGCUACGACGGAAAAACGUUGCAAGAUUUCCAGGAGUUUGUCGGGGAGACGUUACGAAUGUAAACGCCGUCUGGACUGGCGGGAAGUAGCCAUAGCGUUGACGCGCAUGCGCAGUAACAUGAUCGACUGCUCCAACGGUAUUCUCAACCAAUUUACCUAAAUGCGACGCGAGGCACUGCGUGCACGCGAAAUUUCUUUUCCACGGUGAUUUCCCUCUAUAUUCUCCAAGUAUUUAGCUAUCGAUUUGUUUAAGAAGCAAUCGCUGUCCUACGUCUACGUGUCUACGUCUUAUACGAGAGCAAAUACACAGGACGAGUACUCUCAAUAAUACUUCGAUCGCGACAGAAGUCAAUGACGAAAAUCCACAGACUGAUGAUUCAAGUGAACCGGACUGUAUACUUGCAACUGUCAUAAGUUGCCGUGCAUUAAU